rnacentral:rRNA from 1 species
UACGGGGGGGGCAAGCGUUGUUCGGAAUUACUGGGCGUAAAGGGCGCGUAGGCGGCCUUCUAAGUCAGACGUGAAAUCCCUCGGCUCAACCGAGGAACUGUGUCUGAUACUGGAAGGCUUGAAUCCGGGAGAGGGAUGUGGAAUUCCAGGUGUAGCGGUGAAAUGCGUAGAUAUCUGGAGGAACACCGGUGGCGAAGGCGGCAUCCUGGACCGGUAUUGACGCUGAGGCGCGAAAGCUAGGGGAGCAAACGGG